AGUACCGUAUGCUCUGCAAUGGGAUGGAAAGCGAAGCCCCAUGAGGGAUAAUAUACGCUCUCACAUCCAAUUACGACACGUCCUCGUCAUGCAGAGUGGUAACGUGUGCCACCACAUAUCCUAGCUUGGGUAUACGGGAUAGAUCCAACCCCUUGGGCGGAUGGUGGCAUAUGGCGAGGGGC
rfam:Anopheles gambiae str. PEST chromosome 2L, whole genome shotgun sequence.